GACGAACGCUGGCGGCGUGCUUAACACAUGCAAGUCGAACGAUGAAGCACCAGCUUGCUGGUGUGGAUUAGUGGCGAACGGGUGAGUAACACGUGAGUAACCUGCCCCUCACUCUGGGAUAAGCCUGGGAAACUGGGUCUAAUACUGGAUACGACCGAUCUCCGCAUGGGGUGUUGGUGGAAAGUUUUUGUGGUGGGGGAUGGACUCGCGGCCUAUCAGCUUGUUGGUGGGGUAAUGGCCUACCAAGGCGACGACGGGUAGCCGGCCUGAGAGGGCGACCGGCCACACUGGGACUGAGACACGGCCCAGACUCCUACGGGAGGCAGCAGUGGGGAAUAUUGCACAAUGGGCGAAAGCCUGAUGCAGCGACGCCGCGUGAGGGAUGACGGCCUUCGGGUUGUAAACCUCUUUCACCAGGGACGAAGCUAACGUGACGGUACCUGGAGAAGAAGCACCGGCUAACUACGUG
rnacentral:rRNA from 1 species